GCUUCGGUGGCGGAACUGGUAGACGCGGAGGACUCAAAAUCCUUUGGUAGCAAUACCGUGUGAGUUCAACUCUCACCCGAAGCA
rnacentral:tRNA from 1 species